rnacentral:rRNA from 1 species
AUUGAACGCUGGCGGCAGGCCUAACACAUGCAAGUCGAACGAGUGGCGGACGGGUGAGUAAUGUCUGGUAAACUGCCCGAUGGAGGGGGAUAACUACUGGAAACGGUAGCUAAUACCGCAUACCAUCGGAUGUGCACAGAGGGGAGUGGCUAGUAGGUGGGGUAACGGCUAACCGAGGCGACGAUCCCUAGCUGGUCUGAGAGGAUGACCAGCCACCCGGGAACUGGGAGACGGGCCAGACUCCUAGGGGAGGAAGCAGUGGGGAAUAGUGCACAAUGGGCGAAAGCCUGAUGCAGCCAUGCCGCGUGUAUGAAGAAGGCCUUCGGGUUUUAAAGUACUUUCAGCGAGGAGGCGUUACUCGCAGAAGAAGCAUCGGCUAACUCCGUGCCAGCAGCCGCGGUAAUUC